AGUUGAAAGUGGUACCAAAGUUGAAAGUGGUACCAAAGUUGAAAAUGAUACUAAAGUUAAAAAUGGUACCAUUUUCAACUUUGGUACCAUUUUCAACUUUGUUACCGUUU
rnacentral:pre_miRNA from 1 species